ACGCUGGCGGCAUGCUUUACACAUGCAAGUCGAACGGCAGCGCGGGGCAACCUGGCGGCGAGUGGCGAACGGGUGAGUAAUAUAUCGGAACGUACCCAAGAGUGGGGGAUAACGUAGCGAAAGUUACGCUAAUACCGCAUACGAUCUAAGGAUGAAAGCAGGGGAUCUUCGGACCUUGUGCUCCUGGAGCGGCCGAUAUCUGAUUAGCUAGUUGGUGAGGUAAAGGCUCACCAAGGCUACGAUCAGUAGCUGGUCUGAGAGGACGACCAGCCACACUGGAACUGAGACACGGUCCAGACUCCUACGGGAGGCAGCAGUGGGGAAUUUUGGACAAUGGGCGAAAGCCUGAUCCAGCAAUGCCGCGUGAGUGAAGAAGGCCUUCGGGUUGUAAAGCUCUUUUGUCAGGGAAGAAACGGUUUGGGCUAAUACCCUGAGCUAAUGACGGUACCUGAAGAAUAAGCACCGGCUAACUACGUGCCAGCAGCCGCGGUAAUACGUAGGGUGCAAGCGUUAAUCGGAAUUACUGGGCGUAAAGCGUGCGCAGGCGGUUUUGUAAGUCUGACGUGAAAUCCCCGGGCUCAACCUGGGAAUUGCGUUGGAGACUGCAAGGCUAGAAUCUGGCAGAGGGGGGUAGAAUUCCACGUGUAGCAGUGAAAUGCGUAGAGAUGUGGAGGAACACCGAUGGCGAAGGCAGCCCCCUGGGUCAAGAUUGACGCUCAUGCACGAAAGCGUGGGGAGCAAAC
rnacentral:rRNA from 1 species